UGGGGCCUACUAAAACGCUGUUCAUGGACGAGAUAUCCACAGGUCUGGACAGCUCCACCACUUUCCAAAUCGUCAAGUGCCUUCAGCAGAUCGUUCACCUCACAGACGCCACCGUGCUCAUGUCUCUCCUCCAGCCUGCUCCUGAGACCUUUGACUUAUUCGAUGAUAUCAUCUUGCUGUCCGAGGGUCAGAUCGUGUACCAAGGCCCCAGAGACCACAUUCUCGACUUCUUUGAGAGUUUUGGCUUCAAGUGUCCCGAGAGAAAAGGAACCGCUGAUUUUUUGCAA
rnacentral:lncRNA from 1 species